rnacentral:rRNA from 1 species
UACGUAGGGCGCAAGCGUUGUCCGGAAUUACUGGGCGUAAAGCGCGCGCAGGCGGCCCGCGAGGUGUCACGUGAAAGCCCCGGGCUCAACCCGGGAGGGUCGUGGCAACCGGCGGCUUGAGGCCGGGUAGAGGUGGGGUGGAACUCCUGGUGGGAGUGGUGAAAUGCGUAGGAGGAAUCAAGGAAGAACACCCCGUGGGCGAAAGGCCGG